rnacentral:rRNA from 1 species
AUUGAACGCUGGCGGCAUGCUUUACACAUGCAAGUCGAACGGUAACAGGGAGCUUGCUCCGCUGACGAGUGGCGAACGGGUGAGUAAUGCAUCGGAACAUGCCCAGUCAUGGGGGAUAACUACGCGAAAGCGUAGCUAAUACCGCAUACGCCCUGAGGGGGAAAGUGGGGGAUCUUAGGACCUCACGUGAUUGGAGUGGCCGAUGUCAGAUUAGCUAGUUGGUGAGGUAAAGGCUCACCAAGGCGACGAUCUGUAGCGGGUCUGAGAGGAUGAUCCGCCACACUGGGACUGAGACACGGCCCAGACUCCUACGGGAGGUAGCAGUGGGGAAUUUUGGACAAUGGGCGCAAGCCUGAUCCAGCCAUGCCGCGUGAGUGAAGAAGGCCU